UUCCGUUCUAUUUACUAUCUUCAAUAUUUGAAGCUAUCAACUUUGGCUCUACUGAUAUUUCUUGGUCCAUCACAAUCAAUAACCUUUUUUUUAAGUUGCUUGUCUAAUGUUAAGGAUUAGUUGUAAAUAGAACUCUAUUAGGAGUUAGAUUCCUAUUAGGUUUAUAGUAUUUUGUAUGUGUAUAUAUAUGUGUCCCUAUUGAUGAAUCAAAGAUAGAAAAAUAUUUUUCC